GCAAUGUGCAGCACCAUCUAAUGGAUUUUUUUCUUUCUUUAGUACCCCAUUAAAACAGCCUAAGACAGAAAGGGAACAAAAGGUUAAAAGAAAAUUAGCUCUUGGACAGCUGGUCCAUAACAGAAGGAAUCAUCAGAAGGGGAUAUUGAGCAAGAAUGUUGAUGCUGCAGACAGUUCAACCAAAGAAUCUGAGCUGAGCCAUUCAGAUUACAGAAGCUCAGGGAAUGAAUCAGACCUUGAUGGGUGUGUUGUGGAACACUCCCAAAGUCAAGACUUGUUCAGCAAUUCAGAUAGCAGAAGCUCUGGGGAUGAAUCAGACCUUGACGAGUUUGUUGUGGAAGACUCCCAAAGUCAAG